CAAACAUGUUCACCUCAAAAUUGGUGUGCUCCAUGUGUGCACUGACUUGUUUCAGAGUUCAUCACUAUCAAAGCUGCAUGCAAAUGAUUUUUGAAAGGAUACAACAUGGGAUGUGACAUUCAUGUCUGUGUGCUUGCUUUGAUUACAGUGUGUGCUCUAUGAUUCACAUUUCUUGUAACUGAAAUGCAAAUUGCAUGGUAAAGUUCAUGUGAUGUGAUAUGUGUUUGAAAUUCAUGAUGUGCAAGUACCAUGAGGGAAAUGUGAAAAGGACUUUGAAAAGAAAAUUAAACAAAGCCUGCAUUUGCUGAUUGUAAACGUAAGUGAGGAUUGUAAUACUAAUGUCUCUGCAUCACUUGACAUGUCUUACGUGUUGUUGUAUGCUUGGCAUUAUGUUCAGCACCACUGAGUGUGCGUACUGGCUUUGAUUGAACUGAUUUCAUGUGGAACUGUUGAAUGAAGAUGCAUGUACACUUGUGUGAAGUAAUGUACCCACCAACUGUGAUCAUGCACUGUUUGCACAUGUUUUCAUGUGCUUCCUUGCUAAUUCUUGAUGUCACUUGGCAUAUUAUAACUACCCUCACUUGACCCGUCUUGAAACACGGACCAAGGAGUCUGGCAAGUGUGCAAACUGACUUUGUGUCAAGACUUGCAUGUAAUGAACAUGACUGUUUCAUGACAUCACCACCAAUCAAUUUUCAGUUUGUUGAUAAUUUGAAUGUGAGCAUUGUUGCUAGGACCCGAAAGAUGGUGAACUAUGCUUGCAUAACAUGAAUUCAGAGGAAACUCUGAUGGAAGUUUGUAUCGGUACUGACGUGCAAAUCGUUCGUCACAA
rnacentral:rRNA from 1 species